UGUGAACUCGAAGAGUAGGGCGGGACACGUGGUAUCCUGUCUGAAUAUGGGGGGACCAUCCUCCAAGGCUAAAUACUCCUGACUGACCGAUAGUGAACCAGUACCGUGAGGGAAAGGCGAAAAGAACCCCGGCGAGGGGAGUGAAAAAGAACCUGAAACCGUGUACGUACAAGCAGUGGGAGCACCUUCGGGUGUGACUGCGUACCUUUUGUAUAAUGGGUCAGCGACUUAUAUUCUGUAGCAAGGUUAACCGUAUAGGGGAGCCGCAGGGAAACCGAGUCUUAACUGGGCGUUAAGUUGCAGGGUAUAGACCCGAAACCCGGUGAUCUAGCCAUGGGCAGGUU
rnacentral:rRNA from 1 species